GGGUUGUGAGGUUAAGCGACUAAGCGUACACGGUGGAUGCCCUGGCAGUCAGAGGCGAUGAAGGACGUGCUAAUCUGCGAAAAGCGUCGGUAAGGUGAUAUGAACCGUUAGAGCCGGCGAUGUCCGAAUGGGGAAACCCAGUGGGAUUCGUACCACUAUCGUUAACUGAAUACAUAGGUUAACGAGGCGAACCGGGGGAACUGAAACAUCUAAGUACCCCGAGGAAAAGAAAUCAACCGAGAUUCCCCCAGUAGCGGCGAGCGAACGGGGAGCAGCCCAGAGUCUGAAUCAGCUUGUGUGUUAGUGGAACGGUCUGGAAAGUCCGACGGUACAGGGUGAUAGUCCCGUACACCAAAAUGCACAGGAUGUGAACUCGAAGAGUAGGGCGGGACACGUGGUAUCCUGUCUGAAUAUGGGGGGACCAUCCUCCAAGGCUAAAUACUCCUGACUGACCGAUAGUGAACCAGUACCGUGAGGGAAAGGCGAAAAGAACCCCGGCGAGGGGAGUGAAAAAGAACCUGAAACCGUGUACGUACAAGCAGUGGGAGCACCUUCGGGUGUGACUGCGUACCUUUUGUAUAAUGGGUCAGCGACUUAUAUUCUGUAGCAAGGUUAACCGUAUAGGGGAGCCGCAGGGAAACCGAGUCUUAACUGGGCGUUAAGUUGCAGGGUAUAGACCCGAAACCCGGUGAUCUAGCCAUGGGCAGGUUGAAGGUUGGGUAACACUAACUGGAGGACCGAACCGACUAAUGUUGAAAAAUUAGCGGAUGACUUGUGGCUGGGGGUGAAAGGCCAAUCAAACCGGGAGAUAGCUGGUUCUCCCCGAAAGCUAUUUAGGUAGCGCCUCGUGAACUCAUCUUCGGGGGUAGAGCACUGUUUCGGCUAGGGGGUCAUCCCGACUUACCAACCCGAUGCAAACUACGAAUACCGAAGAAUGUUAUCACGGGAGACACACGGCGGGUGCUAACGUCCGUCGUGAAGAGGGAAACAACCCAGACCGCCAGCUAAGGUCCCAAAGUCAUGGUUAAGUGGGAAACGAUGUGGGAAGGCACAGACAGCCAGGAUGUUGGCUUAGAAGCAGCCAUCAUUUAAAGAAAGCGUAAUAGCUCACUGGUCGAGUCGGCCUGCGCGGAAGAUGUAACGGGGCUAAACCAUGCACCGAAGCUGCGGCAGCGACACUAUGUGUUGUUGGGUAGGGGAGCGUUCUGUAAGCCUGCGAAGGUGUGCUGUGAGGCAUGCUGGAGGUAUCAGAAGUGCGAAUGCUGACAUAAGUAACGAUAAAGCGGGUGAAAAGCCCGCUCGCCGGAAGACCAAGGGUUCCUGUCCAACGUUAAUCGGGGCAGGGUGAGUCGACCCCUAAGGCGAGGCCGAAAGGCGUAGUCGAUGGGAAACAGGUUAAUAUUCCUGUACUUGGUGUUACUGCGAAGGGGGGACGGAGAAGGCUAUGUUAGCCGGGCGACGGUUGUCCCGGUUUAAGCAUGUAGGCUGGUUAUCCAGGCAAAUCCGGAUAAUCAAGGCUGAGGUGUGAUGACGAGGCACUACGGUGCUGAAGUAACAAAUGCCCUGCUUCCAGGAAAAGCCUCUAAGCAUCAGGUAACAUCAAAUCGUACCCCAAACCGACACAGGUGGUCAGGUAGAGAAUACCAAGGCGCUUGAGAGAACUCGGGUGAAGGAACUAGGCAAAAUGGUGCCGUAACUUCGGGAGAAGGCACGCUGGUGUGUAGGUGAAGUCCCUGCGGAUGGAGCUGAGACCAGUCGAAGAUACCAGCUGGCUGCAACUGUUUAUUAAAAACACAGCACUGUGCAAACACGAAAGUGGACGUAUACGGUGUGACGCCUGCCCGGUGCCGGAAGGUUAAUUGAUGGGGUUAUCCGUAAGGAGAAGCUCUUGAUCGAAGCCCCGGUAAACGGCGGCCGUAACUAUAACGGUCCUAAGGUAGCGAAAUUCCUUGUCGGGUAAGUUCCGACCUGCACGAAUGGCGUAAUGAUGGCCAGGCUGUCUCCACCCGAGACUCAGUGAAAUUGAACUCGCUGUGAAGAUGCAGUGUACCCGCGGCAAGACGGAAAGACCCCGUGAACCUUUACUAUAGCUUGACACUGAACAUUGAGCCUUGAUGUGUAGGAUAGGUGGGAGGCUUUGAAGCGUGGACGCCAGUCUGCGUGGAGCCAACCUUGAAAUACCACCCUUUAAUGUUUGAUGUUCUAACGUUGGCCCCUGACCGGGGUUGCGGACAGUGUCUGGUGGGUAGUUUGACUGGGGCGGUCUCCUCCCAAAGCGUAACGGAGGAGCACGAAGGUUAGCUAAUCCUGGUCGGACAUCAGGAGGUUAGUGCAAUGGCAUAAGCUAGCUUGACUGCGAGCGUGACGGCGCGAGCAGGUGCGAAAGCAGGUCAUAGUGAUCCGGUGGUUCUGAAUGGAAGGGCCAUCGCUCAACGGAUAAAAGGUACUCCGGGGAUAACAGGCUGAUACCGCCCAAGAGUUCAUAUCGACGGCGGUGUUUGGCACCUCGAUGUCGGCUCAUCACAUCCUGGGGCUGAAGUAGGUCCCAAGGGUAUGGCUGUUCGCCAUUUAAAGUGGUACGCGAGCUGGGUUUAGAACGUCGUGGCUCCUAGUACGAGAGGACCGGAGUGGACGCAUCACUGGUGUUCGGGUUGUCAUGCCAAUGGCACUGCCCGGUAGCUAAAUGCGGAAGAGAUAAGUGCUGAAAGCAUCUAAGCACGAAACUUGCCCCGAGAUGAGUUCUCCCUGAGACUUUAAGUCUCCUGAAGGAACGUUAAAGACGAUGACGUUGAUAGGCCGGGUGUGUAAGCGCAGCGAUGCGUUGAGCUAACCGGUACUAAUGAACCGUGAGGCUUAACCUUACAACGCCGAAG
rnacentral:rRNA from 1 species